UACAGAGGGUGCAAGCGUUGUUCGGAAUUAUUGGGCGUAAAGAGCUCGUAGGCGGUUUGUCGCGUCUGCCGUGAAAGUCCGGGGCUCAACUCCGGAUCUGCGGUGGGUACGGGCAGACUAGAGUGAUGUAGGGGAGACUGGAAUUCCUGGUGUAGCGGUGAAAUGCGUAGAGAUCAGCAGGAACACCAAGGACGAAGGUACCUACCUGGGCAGUAUCUGACACUCAAGUGCGACAGCGUGGGGAGCGAACCGG
rnacentral:rRNA from 1 species